rnacentral:tRNA from 1 species
AGAACAACCAGCCUCCCCAAGACUU